UUGUACUCUGGACAGGAUAUCAUCAUAUACUGUAAGUUCGUUAUAGAGACACUACAGUAUAGAUGAUGUACUAUCCAGGGUUUCAU
rnacentral:pre_miRNA from 12 species